rnacentral:lncRNA from 1 species
UGGAAAACAGUGAAGAACUUUGUACAAAUCAGCUCAUUGACAGUGCUAUCCAAAAAAAUGCCUCCAACUCCAUAAUUCCUGUGACUGAAAAUAAUGCAGACCCCAUUAAUAUUCAUAUAGUUGUAGAGAAUGAGUCAGAAGAGCUGCAAUUUGAUUUUUCGACUAGACAAAUGGUACAAAAGGUAACUUCACCUAGUUCAUCUAGGAGACCAUUAACUAUGUCAGAACCAAAGAAACUGAACCCUGUAACACCUACUUUCAAUCCUACAACAAUAAGAAAUCAUGCAGCAAAUAGGGAAUCAAAAGCAAAUUGUGUACAACAAGAUUUGGGGAAUGAGCAGCAUUUUGACAAUUACUCAACUGCCCAAUGGGUGUAAGAAGCAUUCAAAAAUAAUGUAGUUCAGGUCAAUACCUCAUGUCAAGACAUUCCUUCACAGGAUACCAAAGUUGAACAACAUUUAGCAAACAAUAAAGAGAAUAACUUAAUUGAAGAUACAGAUUUUGAGAAAUUCAGGACUAAUGAAAAAGAUAAAUGGGCAGGAGGGAGAUUAUGGAUCAACAAAACAGAGGAAGUCUUAGCGGAUGGGCAGAUUCUAGAUACAAUGCAUUGUGAAGAAGAAAUUGGAGGAAAUGAAGUGGAAGAUGAGAAUCAAAGUGUUAAUUGUAAUGCCAAUGCAAUUAGUAUUCAAAGCAUAAGUGAAUGCACAAAUGCAGUAGAAGAAAAGACAAAAGAGGGGAACAACAAUAUUAUAGAUCCAGGAGGGACUUUACAUAAUGAUGUUAGUAAUGUCUUGAAAGAAGCUGAAAAUACAGACAAGAACCAAGAGAAAAAUUCAGACAAGAACCAAGAGAAGACAGUGCAAGUCUAUGCAAGAAGUGGUGUACCAUUGAGCACAGUGAAGGAUGUAGCAGGAAGUGUUGUUCCAUCGAACAAUACACAACCGUUGACCAAUGUACAUGAGGAAAAAGCUGCUGAACUUACCAAUCAAGAAAAAAAUGUUGAACUUACCAAUCAGGCAUAUGAUGUUGUGACAUCAAAAGAAGCAAUAGAAGCACAUGACCAAGUUGGCCACACAGAACUUAAAGGUAGAGACAUGGAUGAUGAAUCCACUACACAAAAUUUCCUUAAUGUUACCAAGCAGGGUGAUCUGUCACCAAGGCUUAUUGAUAUAGUAAAAUCUACAACAAAAGGAAAAAAGAAACAGUCAAAACAGACAUCUACUGUCCCAGCCAGUGGAGUACAAACAAGGAGAACAGUGUCCAAACCCCAAAACAUUUAAUGGAUGCAAUUAUAUGGAAUGUCAAGUCAGUAAAUGCAAUGCAAGCAUUUGAAAGGCUGAUUACAAUGCUCAGAAAACAUCACUUUGAGUUCAUAGGAAUCCUUGAGCCUAUGCAACAGUCUCACAAAAUGGAGAGGUAUAGAGCAAGAAUUGGUUUGGCACAGGUUGUGGUGAAUGUAUCAAAUAAGUUUUGGGCUUUUAUUGAUGAAAUAUUUGAGGUUACUAUUCUGUAUAACAUGACUCAACAACUGACUUUGAGAUUAACGCACACUGAAACACAUGUUGAGCUCAUCCUUACACUAGUUUAUGCCAAAUGUGAUCGCAUUGAAAGAAUUGAACUAUGGGAUUCUUUGUAUGCAAUGGCAUCAGAUAUGACAGUACCAUGGCUAGUUGGAGGCGACUUUAAUGUGAUAUGGGAUGAGGAAGAGAAAUUUGGAGGCUUACCAGUUUCUCUCACUGAAGUAGAUGACUUUAGGCACUGCAUCAAUACCUGUAACUUGACAGAUUUGGGAUUUAAAGGAAGCAUAUUUACAUGGUGGAAUGGAAGAUCAUAGGAAGACUGUAUUUUUAAAAGAUAGGACAGAUGUUUUUGCAAUCAUGAAUUGCAACAGACCUUUCCUGGAUUGGAGGUAACUCACCUGUCCAAAAUUGGGUCUGAUUAUUGCCCAAUGCUGCUAAAAUGUGAUAUAGAAACUCCUCCAAUUAAGAAGUCAUUCAGAUUUCUUAACUUCUGGACUAAGCAUGAAACUUCAAAGAUGUAGUAAAGAAGAAUUGGAAUGCUGAUUUUAGUGCUAACCAUUUCUGCAUUUUUAACUACAAGUUAAAGAAGCUUAAGAAAGCACUAUCUACCUGGAGCAGAUCUACAUAUGGGGAUAUAUUCCAAAAGAUUGCAAGCCUGGAGGAGGUGGUCUUGGUUCAUGAAAGACAAUUUGAAGUCAAUCCUACACAGAUGAACAGGUAAAGAUUACAAUAGGUACAAGCUGAAAUGAUUAAAUAUCUUGCAUUAGAAGAAGAAUUCUGGAGAUAAAAAGCUGGCAUGUUAUGGUUCAAAGAUAGCGAUAGAAACACUAAAUUCUUCCAUGCUCAAGUUAAUGGGAGAAGGAAGAGACUCAAAUUAUCAAGGAUCCAUAAUAGCCUUGGUAACUGGAUUGAAGAAGAUCACUUAAUAGCAGAAAAAGCACUAAAGUUCUACAAGGAUCAAUUUACUAAGAGUGAUGUUCCUAAUGCUUUUGAUAUUCUAAAUCAUGUACCUUCAAUGGUAGAGAGUGAUCAACAUGAAAGAUUGAUGGCUUUUCCUUCCAAUGAAGAAGUGAAGAGAGCAGUUAUGGGGUUGAAUGGGGACUCAGCAGGUGGACCGGAUGGCUUCACUGGAGCCUUUUACCAAACAUGUUGGGAAAUCAUUGAAGAAGAUGUAGUAGGCAUGGUCAAGGCUUUUUUUUUUUGCGGUCAGCAAUUGCCAAAGAGUGUCACAUACACAAACCUAGUUUUAUUACCAAAGAAAAAAGAAGUUAUGACCUUUGCAGACAUGAGACCAAUCAGUCUCAGCAACUUUGUUAACAAGAUUUUCUCAAGGGUUAUUCAUGAAAGGUUGAUUGAAUUUUUACCAAACUUAAUCUCAUAGGAACAUGCAGGUUUUGUGAAGGGAAGAAUUAUAGUUGAGAAUGUACUGUUAACUCAAGAAAUCAUUACGGAUAUCAGGUUGAGAACAAAAGCAGGCCCAAAUGUUGUGAUUAAGCUCGACAUGACAAAAGCUUACGAUAGGCUAUCAUGGCUAUUCCUGACCAAAAUGCUAAGGAAGAUGGGAUUUCCUGAAGCGUUUAUUGGAUUGAUCUUUGAUUUGAUUGGGAAUAAUUGGUACUCUAUUCUUAUAAAUGGGCAGCCAAAUGGUUUCUUCAAAUCUUCGAGGGGAGUUAAGCAGGGUGACCCUUUGUCACCAACCGUAUUUAUUCUAGCAGCAGAAGCAAUGUCUCGGGGAUUGAAUUCACUACACACUAACCUGGAUUUCUGUGGAUUUGGAAUGCCAAAAUGGAGCCCAAAAAUAAAUCAUCUCUUAUACGCUAAUGAUACAAUCAUUUUCUCCUCAUCUGAUGAAACUUCACUGAGACUUGUCAUGGAGGUUUUGCAAGCUUAUGAAUCAUCGUCUGGUCAACUAGUGAACAAAGCCAAAACUGCCAUAUACCUGCAUCAUUUAACGGAUAAUGAGGUGAUUAACAAGGUUGAAAGGAUUACAGGUAUAUAAAGACAAUGUUUCCCUAUGACCUAUCUUGGCUGCCCUAUUUUUUAUGCAAGAAGAAGGAGUGACUAUUACCAGGGAUUAAUCACUAAGGUCAUGGACAAACUGCAGUCGUGUAAAGGCAAACUCCUAUCUAUAGGAGGCAGAGCUAUAUUGAUCGCAAAUGUCAUGCAGAGUAUCCCAAUUCAUAUGUUGUCAGCAGUUAAUCCAAAAAAAUUUGUGAUCAAUAAAUUACAUAGCAUUUUUGCCAAAUUCUUCUGGAGCAGCAAUGUGGGAGGCAACUCUAGACAUUGGUCAUCGUGGACUAACCUUUGUAUGCCUUAUGAGGAGGGAGGCAUAGGCUUCAGGUCCCUACAUGAUGUAUCCAAGGCACUAUUCUAUAAAUUGUGGUGGAAGUUCAGGACAAAACCUAGUUUAUGGAGUGCAUUUAUUAGUCAAAAGUACUGCAAGAAACUAAAUCCAGUAAUUGUACCUUGGAAGCGUGGAUCCCACAUGUGGAGAAAAAUGCUAGAAUGUAGGGACUUGAUUGAGCAUCAAAUCUACUGGAAACCGAGAAUGGGAUCAGCUCAAUUCUGGUUCGACAAUUGGACUAAGCUGGGAGCCUUAUAUUUCCAAGUGCCUGCAGAGUUUGGUAUCGAUGAGGAUAUUCAAAAUUUCAAUGAUCUGGUUGAAAAUGAUAUGUGGAACUUGGAAAAAAUAUUUCAGACUCUACCUGAAGAUUUGGCAAACCACAUUGUGCAAAAUAUUAGACCACCAAACGAAUGUGCAGAGUUAGAUACACCAUUCUGGAUGCUUGAAAUAAGAGGUCAUUUUUCAGUGAAGUCUGCAUGGGAUUACCUGCGAAGAAGAGACAACCCAUGAUUAGGUUGCAGGAUGAUAUGGGUCAAAGGCUUACCUUUCAAGUUAUCUUUCUUCCUGUGGAAGGUGUGGAAAGCCAAACUGCCACUUGAUGAUUUCUUGCGUAAAAUAGGAUACUCCAUGCCAUCAAAAUGUUGGUAUUGUGCUGAUCCUAAGGAGGAGUCAUUAGUACAUUUGUUCUUCACAUCCAAUGCAGCUAGGAGUGUUUGGAAUUACUUCCUGAGGAGAGUAGGAAUUGCAUUAGAAGGAUUAUCAUUACAACAAGCAAUUACAAAGUGUUGGAAAGCACCAGUUGUUCCCAGAUUGAAGCCAGUCUUACAAGCUUUACCUGCAUGCAUUAUAUGGGAACUUUGGAAGAGAAGAAACAGUUUGAAAUAUGGAGAAGCAGUGUCAGUGAGCAGAGUUAUUUACCAGGUGUCAUCUACUCUGCAAGCUCUAGUCCAAUUAAAAAAGCCUGGACUGCAUGUGCCUAACAAGUGGCUGGACUUACUGACAAUGAUGGAUCAAUACACACCUCGAUUGAAAUAUGAAAAGGUGUUAUGGGAAUUUCCUCCAAGAGGGUGGAUCAAAGUAAAUAUGGAUGGUGCAUGUAGAGGGAACCCAGGGAGGAGUUCAAUUGGUUUCUGCAUAAGGGAUGAGGUAGGUGAUUUGAUAUAUGCAGAAGGAAGGGAGAUUUCUGAAGGAACCAAUAAUGAAUCAGAAGCAGUAGCUAUUGUGGAGGCAUUGAAGAUGUGCAAAAAUCUUAAUUAUUUUCAGAUAUGGCUGCAGACAGAUUCCUUGCUAUUAAAGAACAUUAUAAAGGAAUCAUGGAAUCCGCCUUGGUAUAUUACUGAUCAUGUUGAGGAGAUUUUAAGAUUAAAGGAACAAAGUAUCAUCAAGGUCACACACAUAUUCAAAGAAGGGAAUACAUUAGCAGACCACCUUGCCAACUAUGCUCUAGAUAAAGGAAAUAUUGAAUGUCAUGGCUUCUAGUAUAUGGACUCAAAAGGAAGGAGGAUUAUUAAUGAAGACAAGAUGCAAUGUCCUUACAUAAGAGUGAAGGUUGCAAGGAAUUAGGAGGAAAAGAGGCUACAAUUUGCUAUCGGACUCGAAUCAUUCUUGAGGAGAGAUUGGUUAGCAAUUUUUCAACUAACAUUGUUUACUUUUUUGCAAGUAUCUCAUCGAUGCUAAAACCUUAUGUUAUAAUAGAAUCUCAAGUGGUGGUAUUAAUGCCUUGCAUUCAAUCCGCUGGGAGGACAUUAAAGGUGGGCUUUGGCAUAUGUACAAAGAUCAUUUCAAGGAAGGCAAUUACAUCAAAAGGAAUUGCUGGAACUUUGGAGGAAUUUGAUCGACCAUUUCAUGAGGCAGAUCAAGAAGAGAAAUGGCUCUCUCGAACAAAAUAUAAGCAACCGGAAGAGGAGAAAGAAGAAGUCUAGAGUGGAAUGCUACGCCAAAUAUCUAUUGCAAUAAGUGAGCACAAUGUCACAUGGGAAAGGAGAGAUGAACUUCUAGACAAAAGGAGCUUUGGAGAGAGCUUUUGUGGUCAACAGUGCACGCCUGUCUGGGAGCGUGACUUUGCUAUAAGGAGUUGUUUGAGAUGCCAUGCUGGUUUGCAUAAAACUCAAAUGUAUCUAAGGGAUGGCGUGAUUUCGAGAAAGGGAGACCUAGAAAGUACGCUAAGACAAAGCAUAGAAAAAUGGUACCACAA